rnacentral:tRNA from 1 species
GCGGACGUGGCGAAAUCGGUAGACGCAGCGGACUUAAAAUCCGUUUGCCUUUGGCAGUGCGGGUUCAAGUCCCGCCGUCCGCACCA